CCGGUCCUCAUUUGUGUAGGGCAUGAUCAGUUGUAGUGUCUCAUGACCCUCCCACCUCCCAUCCCAGGUAGCUGAAGGGGUGAAAACCGCUUCAGGUCACUUACCUGAGACCUCGCCGAUGUUCCUCGGCGGUGGUUUCGGGUCGGCGUCGCUCCUCCCAGUAAUCACGUCAGCCGGUGGGCGAGACUGAUCCCGCCCGCCAGCUGAGAAAACCUAAUGCACAUGCGCGGCAAU